rnacentral:tRNA from 1 species
GCGCGAGUGGUGGAACUGGUAGACUCGUAGGUUUCAGGUACCUAUGUUCGCAAGGACGUGCGGGUUCGAGUCCCGCCUCGCGCACCA